CCGACGGGGUCACCCGCAGCUGCAUCUCCUUCGGAGUCUCCACGUCCCGGGGGACGAGGGAACCCCUCUCGGUCUCCAUGUCCGCCCUGACCAUCUCCCAUCCUACCUGAAAUGACGUUGGCGCUUAUGGUCAACCAGUCUCGAGAAAGAUUCAGCAGAGUUGGAGAAGGACAUCUAAAAGAAUCAAGGAGAAGACAAACAAUCUAAAAUAUCACUACUUUCCAGUAUGGAAAUAUGAAGGAUUAGGAAAGAACUGGGCUAAAUUUUAUAAUACUUAAAUAAAUGACCAGAAUGAA